UUUUAUGGAGAGUUUGAUCCUGGCUCAGAGUGAACGCUGGCGGCGUGCCUAAUACAUGCAAGUCGAACGAUGAAGCUUCUAGCUUGCUAGAAGUGGAUUAGUGGCGCACGGGUGAGUAAGGUAUAGUUAAUCUGCCCUACACAAGAGGACAACAGUUGGAAACGACUGCUAAUACUCUAUACUCCUGCUUAACACAAGUUGAGUAGGGAAAGUUUUUCGGUGUAGGAUGAGACUAUAUAGUAUCAGCUAGUUGGUAAGGUAAUGGCUUACCAAGGCUAUGACGCUUAACUGGUCUGAGAGGAUGAUCAGUCACACUGGAACUGAGACACGGUCCAGACUCCUACGGGAGGCAGCAGUAGGGAAUAUUGCGCAAUGGGGGAAACCCUGACGCA
rnacentral:rRNA from 1 species